CACACCUCUCUCUGCUAGAUGAAGGAGAAGCUCUGCUAGGUGCUUCAUCAAAGCUCGGUGAAGGUCGCUCUCAGUAAGUAGAAGCUCCUACCCUAACUCGCUCUCGGUCGCUCUCACAAAGGGGUCUACCUCUCUCUCUCUCUCUCUCUCUCUCUCUCUCUCUCGCGAGCGCGAGCGCGAGCGCGCGCGAAGGAGAAGCGACUCUCUCUCUCUCUGCUCACGAAGCUGUAGCUGAUACUCUCGAUUUUAUCUGUGUUACCCAUUCUCGCGCCGAAGUUCUGAGAUAGCGCGUUGUCACCUGGUUAGGGUUUGAAUCGAAGCCAUUCUCUAUUAGAGUUUGAGUCAAAUCGUUGGCAGCAAUCUUUACCUCUGGACUAACAUCCUAAACAGCCCUCUCAAUAGUGGCAUAUAUGUCUCUUCUUAAAGGAGGGUGUAGGAUUUGAUGGCUACACCUUGACAAGCAUCACAAAAGGCCUGUUCAGAACCAGGAGACUUGUAUCUGGGCUUGCAGCUUCAUGGUUGCAUGAUGGACACAGGGUUUGUUUCUGAAACACCAGUCAUCAAUGCACUAAUAACCAUGUACUAGUGUGAACAAUGAAUGGUGUCUGCCACCCAGAUUUUUGGGACAGCUCUUGCACCCAACAUUAUCUCUUGGACCUCCAUACUAGCCGGCUUCCUGCAAAAUGGGCAGAAUGAAGAAGCAGUUGGGUUUUAUAAAAGAAUGCUGAAAGUAGGAAUGAAUGCUCUUUUAGAUAUGUAUCAGUGCAGAAUGCUCUUUUAUAUCAAAACACAAGAAGAAAUCAACCAUGUCAUGUAUUUUGCAUCAUUUGCAAGCAAAUUUUGAACAUUAUGAACAUUGAUGUGAGGGUUUUUAGGUAAGAUUUUGAUAUAUUUUUUAGUUUACAAAUGCAACUCAGUUCUUUGUUAGCUUUGACUUGAUUGUUGGUUCCCUACCCUACACCCAAACUGUUUGUGUUUUUGUUUCAAACAGCCGGAUUUGCCAUGUCCAGCACCCCAAACAUAGAUUUGUUUCCUAGGAACUCAGAACACUGUUUGGGAUGCCUCAAAUUUCUCAACAGCCACCAUUAACACAUUCAGGCAACAAACAAGAGAAAGGAUUGGAAGAGCAUGAUAAAGAGUUUGAGGAUCAUUCCCUCUCACGUGCUGAUAUCGCUCUCUCUUGGUUGCCUCGAAUCAGAGAGAGAUUUCGAACAUCAACGAAGCCCCCUUCUGGUUCUCACGCACAUACUGGUUCGAUCACCCUGAGGUAUGAAACCUAAAACUUACUUUCCUCUUCUCUUCUCUCUUCACUAACCCUAAGUCUUUUCUUCUCCACUCUCUAAUCAGAAGCUUCUUACAUGCUCUCCCUCUUCAUCGGUUGAAACCAUUUUCAUUAGUCUCUAAUUUCAUCAGGUAUCCUGAAAGUAUUCAUUAUGCUGAACAGAUGUGGUACUUCAAAUAGUGAGCAAAAUUCUGGAGACUCUUGUGAUGGAGUCCCUCUUAAGACUACUGGUUAAAGAGCACAGAAUGAAAUUACUUGAGAUUCCACCCACACAGCCUAUCUUUUGGAGUCUUGAAUUGAAUUUUAUGAAAAUAUAAGGCAUUUUAUUUGGAUAGUGUCAACUUCCAUCAGUUCAAGGAUUAGUAGUUAACAAUUUGAGAUGUUUAAUAUGAAAUGCUGGAUUGGAGUUCUAUUACACAAGGGAAUUCUUGUGCUAAAAAUUCUAUCUAUGUGCUAGUAAAUGCAUUUAGGAUUCUAUUUUUUAAUUGAUUUUUAGCCUCUAAUGUACUAACAAUUUUUUUUUUGUAAGUUAGGAGUCUUUAGCUCAAAAUGGUAGAGCACCUGGGAUAAUGCCCAAGUUAUGGUGAUUCGAAUCCACCAAGACUCAGAACAAAAUACCAAAAGUUUUACUUAUUAUAUCUUGUGUUUUUUUUUUUUUUUUUUUAAAUGAUUGGUGGUGUUGUUCUGUUCUUGUAAUAAUCACAACUUAGCUGAUCUUCAUGUGACUUGACUCAGUGAUUAUGACUGAAAUGUAGAUGAUAUUCAUAAAAUUCUCUGUAAGUCUUGAAUGGGCUAGUAUUUUAUGUAGCCAUUAGGAGUUUAGGACCCUAAAACAUUUGCAGGUGUUGUCUUAGAUUUGGUUUUUUGUUCCCACCAUCUCAUUAGAACAGUAUUGUAGUAGUUUGAAGUAGUAUCAGUUUCCAGGACCCAACCUUCUCGAAAGCUGCAGACACAGAAAAUGAUUGAUCUCCAUUAUCAUCUGGAAAAGGUUGGCUUGCUGCGAUGAAUGCAUGCAUAGAAGUUGAAGUAAUUAAUCCUUGAAUGGAUGCUUGCAUCA